AACGCUAGCGGCAGGCCUAACACAUGCAAGUCGAGGGGUAGAAUGUCUUCGGAUGUUUGAGACCGGCGCACGGGUGCGUAACGCGUAUGCAACCUACCUUUUACUGGGGAAUAGCCCGGAGAAAUUCGGAUUAAUGCCCCAUAUGCUCGUACGGCCACAUGGUCGAGCGAGGAAAGUUCCGGCGGUAAGAGAUGGGCAUGCGUCCUAUUAGCUAGUUGGUGAGGUAAUGGCUCACCAAGGCGACGAUAGGUAGGGGGCCUGAGAGGGUGAUCCCCCACACUGGUACUGAGACACGGACCAGACUCCUACGGGAGGCAGCAGUGAGGAAUAUUGGGCAAUGGAGGAAACUCUGACCCAGCCAUGCCGCGUGCAGGAAGACGGCCCUAUGGGUUGUAAACUGCUUUUGUACGAGAAUAAACCUUUCCACGUGGGAAAGCUGAAGGUACCGUACGAAUAAGGAUCGGCUAA
rnacentral:rRNA from 1 species